GAUGAACGCUGGCGGCGUGCCUAACACAUGCAAGUCGAACGGAGUAUCUUAUAUAGACUUUCUUAGGAGAUGAAAUAUUAGAUACUUAGUGGCGGACGGGUGAGUAACGCGUGGGUAACCUACCUCAUACAGGGGGAUAACAACCGGAAACGGCUGCUAAAACCGCAUAACAAAGACUAAUCGCAUGAUUAAUCUUUCAAAUAUUUUAUAGGUAUGAGAUGGGCCCGCGUCUGAUUAGCUAGUUGGUGAGAUAAAAGACCCACCAAGGCGACGAUCAGUAGCCGGCUUGAGAGAGUGACCGGCCACAUUGGGACUGAGACACGGCCCAAACUCCUACGGGAGGCAGCAGUGGGGAAUAUUGCACAAUGGGGGAAACCCUGAUGCAGCGACGCCGCGUGAGUGAAGAAGUAUUUCGGUAUGUAAAGCUCUAUCAGCAGGGAAGAAAAUGACGGUACCUGACUAAGAAGCCCCGGCUAACUACGUGCCAGCAGCCGCGGU
rnacentral:rRNA from 1 species